ACACCUUACUAAUACUGACUCUACCAAACAUUAAGAACACCUUACAUACUUUUCCCCUCAAUGUGUUGGGGCCUGGACUCUACAAGGUGUAGAAAGUGUUCCACAGAGAUGCUGGACCAUAUUGACUCUAAUGCUUCCCACAGUUGUGUCAAGAUGGCUGGAUGUCCUUUGGGUGGUGGACCAUUCUUUAUACACACAGGAAACUGUUGAGUGUGAAAACUCCAGCAGCGUUGCAGUUCUUGACACAAACUGGUAUCACCUGGAACCUACUAGCAUACCCUGUUCAAAGACACAUCUUCUGCCUUGGCUAUUCACCCUCUGAAUGGUACACAGUCCAUGUCUCAACUGUGUCAGGGCUUUAAAAACAUCCUUGUUUAACCUGUCUCCUCCUCUUCAUCUUCACUGAUUGAAGUGGAUUUAACUAGUGACAUCAAUAAGGGAUCAUAGCUUGGAUUCACUUGGUCAGUCUGUCACAUUCUUAAUGUUUUGUCUGCUCAGUGUACAAGUAUGCCUUGUGAGUAUUAAUGUUACUACCUCCUUGUUCAGACUAUCAGGAAGCUGAAGUGAAUACGAAUAUCGCCCACAAACACCCUCGCCGCCAUGUGCUCGAGCUGAGUUGGUCACGUGGGUUGGUUACACAGGAAGCUUCCUCUCUUCUCUGCAGACCUGUCUAUUGCAGGACGAGAGGCUCACUCUCAUAGCCAGAGAUUACAUGAAGACAUUUUAAAACUCUGUGUUAUAGCUCUGGAGACAAACAUCUUGCCAUUUACAGUAGAUCUCUGAAACAUGUAGUUACCCUCCAGCUAUCCAUCCACAAUGCUCAGACCAGUUUGGUUGCUUACCUCCUGAACUGAGGAAUGGGAGCACUGUAACAGACCAGGGAAGACUCAACUCCAAACAAGGUUCAGUACUGUAACAGACCAGGGACAGCCUCUAGGGAACACAUCACCCUGAAGCAGGUUCAGUACUGUAACAGACCAGGGACAGCCUCUAGGGAAUACAUCACCCUGAAGCAGGUUCAGUACUGUAACAGACCAGGGACAGCCUCUAGGGAAUACAUCACCCUGAAGCAGGUUCAGUACUGUAACAGACCAGGGACAGCCUCUAGGGAAUACAUCACCCUGAAGCAGGUUCAGUACUGUAACAGACCAGGGACAGCCUCUAGGGAAUACAUCACCCUGAAGCAGGUUCCUCAGGCAACGAGAGAACACAAGGCCUGGUCAAUGUUUUCCAGUUUACCACUGUGGAAUGUUAAUACUAAGACCACAGUUCAACAAAGUUUGUUUAGGAUUCCAGGUUUGAAUGAUUGGAGUGAGUGAGUGAGUUUACUGUACGUGCAUGUGUAUUGACAGAUAUUGGAGCACCUUUGCUAGUCCGAUUCCAUGAAACACCAUAACUAUAGUAACCAGGAGAACGAGCAGUAUGGGUCUCCGUCCCAAAUGGAACAAUAUUCCCUACAUAGUGCACUACUUUUGGCCAAAGGCCCAUAGGUUGAACUAUAGUACUUCGACUACAUAGUGCUCU
ensembl:lncRNA